GGACUACCCGGGUAUCUAAUCCUGUUUGCUACCCACGCUUUCGCGCCUCAGCGUCAGAUGAUGCCCAGUUUGCUGCCUUCGCCAUGGGUGUUCCUCCUGAUAUCUAUGCAUUUCACCGCUACACCAGGAAUUCCACAAACCUCUGCAUCCCUCCAGUCUUGCAGUAUGCGAAGCAGUUUCCGAGUUGAGCUCUGGAGAUUUCACUUCACACUUACAAGACCGCCUACGCGCUCUUUACGCCCAGUAAAUCCGGACAACGCUUGGACCCUACGUCUUACCGCGGCGGCUGGCAC
rnacentral:rRNA from 1 species